rnacentral:rRNA from 1 species
GCAAGUCGAGCGCUACCUUCGGGUGGAGCGGCGGACGGGUUAGUAACGCGUGGGAAUAUACCCAGCUCUAAGGAAUAGCCUCUGGAAACGGAGAGUAAUACCUUAUACGCCCCUUGGGGGAAAGAUUUAUCGGAGUUGGAUUAGCCCGCGUUAGAUUAGAUAGUUGGUGGGGUAAUGGCCUACCAAGUCUACGAUCUGUAGCUGGCCUGAGAGGGUGGUC